rnacentral:lncRNA from 1 species
AUUCGCAAUGCAUAAUUUAUAUGCAGACCUGUUCAUUUUCAUGUUCUCUUACAAUCCAUUCCUACCAGGCCUUUGCCUUUGCAUCAUUUAUAGCCACACCUGUUCUCUCCCAUUUUCUCUUACAACCCAUUCCUACCAGGCCUUUGCAUUUCAAUAAUUUAUAUCCAGACCUGUUCUCUCCCAUAUUCUCUUACAAUUACAGGUACACUUGUGGGGGGACCUGCCAAAGUAGAAAUAUGAAUCAAAAAAUUUGUGUAAAGCAUCAGAAUAUAAAUCUGAUGCCCUUUGAGAAUGUAUUAAAAACUAUUGUGUUAGUAGUAGUUUAUCACAUUUCAGGGGUUUACAAAAGAAUGGUUUCUUUUCCUCUAUCCUUAUAAACAGUAAAUAC